rnacentral:rRNA from 1 species
UUGUAAGGCCGUACCACCUUGAGAAUGCCUGAUCUCAGCUGAUAUCAGAAGCUAAACAGAUUUGGGUCCGGUUGCUACUGGGAUGGGAGACUGUGGUGAAUGUGAAGCGCCAUAGU